UGCUUCUAUAGCUCAAUUUGGUUAGAGCCCCCGACUCAUAAUCGGUUGGUUACAGGUUCAAGUCCUGUUAGAAGCACCAA
rnacentral:tRNA from 13 species